rnacentral:rRNA from 1 species
UUCGUAGGCGGGAUAUUAAGUCAGUGGUGAAAUCCUACAGCUUAACUGUAGAACUUCCAUUGAUACUGAUAUUCUUGAAUUCACCUGAAGUAGGCGGAACAUGACAUGUAGCGGUGAAAUGCUUAGAUAUGUCAUAGAACACCGAUUGCGAAGGCAGCUUACUAAAGUGAUAUUGACGCUAAGGAACGAAAGCGUGGGGAGCGAACAGGAUUAGAUACCCUGGUAGUCC